GGGACCAAGGCAUUCUAGGAGGUGAUGGAGUCCCCCCAAUGCUUGCUGGUGGAAAACGCACACUAAAGCUUCCCCCAGAACUCGCAUACGGCAUGAGAGGGGCUGGGUGCAAAGGAGGUUCUUGUAUUAUUCCUCCAGAUUCGGUUCUUCUGUUUGAUGUAGAAUUCAUUGGCAAGGUAUGAGAAGUAGUUGCCACAAAGAAAGUGUCUACAUCAAUCAGUUUUUGGUUUUCUCCAACUUUUUAUUUGUAAAGUUGAAGAGAAGAAUCAAGAAA